UACGUAGGGGGCAAGCGUUGUCCGGAAUCAUUGGGCGUAAAGAGCUCGUAGGCGGUUUGUCGCGUCUGCUGUGAAAACGCGAGGCUCAACCUCGCGCCUGCAGUGGGUACGGGCAGACUAGAGUGCGGUAGGGGAGAUUGGAAUUCCUGGUGUAGCGGUGGAAUGCGCAGAUAUCAGGAGGAACACCGAUGGCGAAGGCAGAUCUCUGGGCCGUAACUGACGCUGAGGAGCGAAAGCGUGGGGAGCGAACAGG
rnacentral:rRNA from 1 species